CCUACGGGAGGCUGCAGUGAGGAAUAUUGGUCAAUGGGCGCGAGCCUGAACCAGCCAAGUCGCGUGAGGGAAGACGGUCCUAUGGAUUGUAAACCUCUUUUGUCGGGGAGCAAAAGACGCCACGCGUGGCGUUCCGAGAGUACCCGAAGAAAAAGCAUCGGCUAACUCCGUGCCAGCAGCCGCGGUAAUACGUAGGGGGCAAGCGUUAUCCGGAUUUACUGGGUGUAAAGGGUGCGUAGGUGGCAGGGCAAGUCAGAUGUGAAAGCCCGGGGCUCAACCCCGGUACUGCAUUUGAAACUGUCCAGCUGGAGUGCAGGAGAGGUAAGCGGAAUUCCUAGUGUAGCGGUGAAAGGCGUAGAUAUUAGGAGGAACACCAGUGGCGAAGGCGGCUUACUGGACUGUAACUGACACUGAGGCACGAAAGCGUGGGGAGCAAACAGGAUUAGAUACCCGAGUAGUC
rnacentral:rRNA from 1 species